rnacentral:rRNA from 1 species
ACCACUUUGUGGUUCAUGACUGGGGUGAAGUCGUAACAAGGUAACCGUAGGGGAACCUGCGGUUGGAUCACCUCCUUACCUUAAAGAA